GUAAAUCUCAAGCAGAAUAGGCAUUGAAGUUAAGAAGCACAUCCAAGAAAUUGGUAUACCAAUGAAUUAUACAAUGGCUCAAAAGUCAUUCAAAUGCAACCUAACCCCACCACCAUACAACACCAUUUCCCCCUAUGCUCCAAAAAGCAAAAAGAAAAUAAUGCUUUUCAUAAAAAAUUUCUAAGUAUUACUCAUCACACCUGCAUCCAUA
rnacentral:misc_RNA from 1 species